CCCGCUGAACUUAAGCAUAUCAAUAAGCGGAGGAAAAGAAACCAACAGGGAUUGCCCCAGUAGCGGCGAGCGAAGCGGCAAAAGCUCAGAUUUGAAAUCUGGCCGCCCACGGCGGUCCGAGUUGUAAUCUGCAGGCGGGUUCUCUGGCGAGCGCGCACCACCUAAGUCUCCCUGGAACGGGGUGCCAUAGAGGGUGAGAGCCCCGUGAGGAGGGGCGCGCGAGCCUGUGUGAGGCCUGUCCGACGAGUCGAGUAGUUUGGGAAUGCUGCUCUAAAUGGGAGGUAUAUUCCUUCUAAAGCUAAAUACCGGCCAGAGACCGAUAGCGCACAAGUAGAGUGAUCGAAAGGUGAAAAGCACUUUGAAAAGAGAGUGAAACAGUACGUGAAAUCGUUGCAGGGGAAGCGCUGGUUACCAGUCGCGCACCGGGGGGUUCAGCCUUCGCCUCGGCGUCGGUGUACUCCCCCCGGCUGCGGGUCAGCACCGGCUCCCGCGGCGGGAUAAAUGCCCAGGGAACGUGGCCCUCGCUUCGGCGGGGGUGUUAUAGCCCUGGGCGCAGUGCCGCCCGCUGGGGGCCGAGGACAUUCGCGCCUUCGGGCUAGGAUGCUGGCAUAAUGGUCAUCAGCGUCCCGUCUUGAAACACGG
rnacentral:rRNA from 1 species